rnacentral:rRNA from 1 species
GACGAACGCUGGCGGCGUGCCUAAUACAUGCAAGUUGAGCGCUGAAGGUUGGUACUUGUACCAACUGGAUGAGCAGCGAACGGGUGAGUAACGCGUGGGGAAUCUGCCUUUGAGCGGGGGACAACAUUUGGAAACGAAUGCUAAUACCGCAUAAAAACUUUAAACACAAGUUUUAAGUUUGAAAGAUGCAAUUGCAUCACUCAAAGAUGAUCCCGCGUUGUAUUAGCUAGUUGGUGAGGUAAAGGCUCACCAAGGCGAUGAUACAUAGCCGACCUGAGAGGGUGGUCGGCCACAAUGGGACUGGGACACGGCCCAAACGCCCACGGGGGGGAGCAGGAGGGAAUCUUCGGCAAUUGAAGAAAGUCUGACCGGGCAACGCCGCGGGAGUGGAGAAGGGUUUCGGAUCGUAAAACUCUGUUGGUAGGGAAGAACGGUGGUGAGAGUGGAAAGCUCAUCAAGUGACGGUAACUACCCAGAAAGGGACGGCUAACUACGUG